rnacentral:rRNA from 1 species
GAUGAACGCUGGCGGUAUGCUUAACACAUGCAAGUCGAACGGACUCUUCGGAGUUAGUGGCGGACGGGUGAGUAACGCGUGAGAAUCUGGCUUUGGGUUCGGGACAACCACUGGAAACGGUGGCUAAUACCGGAUGUGCCGAGAGGUAAAAGAGAAAUUGCCUGAAGAUGAGCUCGCGUCUGAUUAGCUAGUUGGUGAGGUAAAGGCUCACCAAGGCAGCGAUCAGUAGCUGGUCUGAGAGGAUGUCCAGCCACACUGGGACUGAGACACGGCCCAGACUCCUACGGGAGGCAGCAGUGGGGAAUUUUCCGCAAUGGGCGAAAGCCUGACGGAGCAAUACCGCGUGAGGGAAGAAGGCUCUUGGGUUGUAAACCUCUUUUCUUAGGGAAGAACAAAAUGACGGUACCUAAGGAAUCAGCAUCGGCUAACUCCGUG